rnacentral:lncRNA from 1 species
GAGCUCGCUUUUUCUGGGGACAGAGAGUGAGGCCUGGACACCCGGCGCCGGCCCAGGCCUGGCCGCGGGGAGCCGAAGGGCGACGAGUCCGGCGACGAGGCCGUGUCGCUGUCGGGGGCCCGGCAGAGGCGCAGGUCCGGGGCGGAGACGUGCAGCCGGGACUGCGCCGCGGGGAGUCCCCCGGCCGGGGCAGGUGGCGGCCCGUGGAACAGGGAUUCCCGCCGGCGCGUGUGCGGGCUCUCGGGCAGGAAGGCCCAGCCUUCGCGGCCCGCCAGGCUAGUCAAGUGAAGCAAUGGGAGUGGAGAUGGAACAAAGAAAUCUGCAAUUGGUUGUGAUCAAUUAGUUGUAAACACUACUGCACUUGGACCAACCUCUUCCUUUUCCUGACUGCUUAGGAAGGAUGGAAUGUAUUUCCUUCCUUCUGGGAGUGUUUGAAUGAAGAUUAGACUCUCCUUGACCAUGAAUGAAGAGCAACCAGUUUUUUAGUAUACAGUGAUUUAGACUCUGGGUCUAGAGUGUAGAUAUCAUGGGCACUGUGAAAGCACAGAAGGAGAAAAGGUUUUUAUUGGAGAAAUAUGGCAGACACCAUAGUAACCAACUGAUCAAAGGGAACAUUGGCAUUAAUGGGACAAAUCAGCAUCACGUUUCUCUUGUCAUGAAGCACUGAGAAGGCCACAGCAUUGCUUCUGAAAUAUUGCAACAAAAAUGAAUAACUUGAAUCUAAUGAUGAGGAAACAUUGGAGAAAUCCAAACCUUGGAACACGCUACAAAACAACUAACUCGUACUCUGAGAAACAUAUCAGUGGACUGGAUUCCAAACAGUGGCUCAUGCCUGUAAUUUUAACACUUUGGGAGGCCAAGUUUGGUGGGGCUUUGUGUCUGAAUUCUGGCCAAUGGAACCACGUGGAGGCCUGGCCCAGAACAUCUCCCUGUGGAUUCUCUCAUCUGGCAACUGGAUGCCUACACGAAGGGUGAUUUUGGAGUCAUGUGUUGGAGAUCACAAAGCUUUUGUCAGCCAGGUUCCUGAAUGACUGCUAGACACCAUGGGCUGAACUUUAUGAGCUCCAGCACCACCUCCAGCCUUCAGUGACUGUCUGGAGCAGGCAUCCGGAUGGAAGAGAAGGGGGACAACCAUGAACUUGGUGACCCACGGUCAGCCUGAUUUCCCUUGUGGACACAUUUAUGCCCAGUGUGCAUUCCUCCUGAGGUCUGUUCCAAGUCUGGAGGCAGCAGAGUAGAGUGGAGAGAACAGUGGACUUGGAAUCUCACCUCCCAGAUUAGAGUCCUGGAUCUGACUUUGAUUGCUGGUGCUGCCUCGGGCAAGUUACUUUAGCUGUGUGCAUCUCCAUUUCCCCAUGGAUAGAACAUGGGUUUUGGGUAGAAGUGUCUGAUAGCUGUACUGUGCUUUACGGUUCAUGAGCACGCACACAUAGGCCCAUAAUAUCAUAUCUCUGGUCACCCUGGCAGGUAGAUAUUAUUGCCCCAGGUUUCAGGUAAGAAGACUAAAGACCAGGGGUCAAUUGCUUGCUCAGAGUCCCACAGCCAGCAGCAGCCAGGCAGGACACCAAGUCAGAGUCUAGAUUCCGGAUCUUGCCCUCUUCCAAGUGUACCACAUUCUUCUCAAAGUGGCCUCUCAGGUCUUUUGUCCAGAAAAUUUUGAGACUUUGAUGAGAAGCCCAUAUCUGCACACUGGGGAUUAGGCCAGAUAACCCUGUGUGUCCUUCCAGGCCUGGUAUUGUGAGGCUGAAGCCUAGUGCCCCACACUCCCUUCCUCACCCCUUAGAGAAAGAUAGAGACUCCAGGGCCAGCCUGGUGGGUGCUGAACCUGCCCUGCUGAGCCAAGCCCAGGAGGCAGCCAAGGUCCUACCAGUGACCUUACCCUGGGGGCCCCUCCAGGUAGGAGCCUGGUUGGAAAAGACAGACCGACUUCUUCUGGGUUGGCUGGAAAAAGAUGACAUACUCAAAGCCUUGUCCUUCCACUUGGAUGCACCUGGUGAAGAUGCGACAGUCACCUUUGUCUGGGGAGAGAUAGGCAGUGUUGCAGCCGGAGAAGGGAGGGUAUGGUCAGGAUGCAGCACCAUUUGGUUGAGUCUUGCCUCUGGUACAAGAUUAAGGAGAGAAAACCAGAGGACACCAGGUCCACCCCCAGGGAGCCUUCCCUCUGGGAGCAGAGGCACAGUUGCUGUCCUCACAGAGCCUUUCUGUCUAGGGCAGAAACAUGCAGGAAGUGCCCUGGCUGAGAAUGGAGAUAGGAUCAGGGCCAGGGCAAGACUUUAAGAGACCAUAAGCAUUGAAAAUUGAAAAUGUAAUUACUCAUGUAACUCACAUAUAAUUCAAAAGAAUAAUAGUAAACAGUAAAAUAAGAGCAGAAAAGUCCAUCAAAGUUCUGAUUUUUUUUUUCCAAGACAGCUACCACUACUACAUCCUUUUUUGGAAGUAUCAAAUUCUUUGAAAAAAAAUUAUGUUGGUAUUCCUGCUUUGUUUGUGCCAUAAACCCAAGGGUAGUCUGUCCCCUGUACCACUCCUUCAUCACUAGGCAGGAAGACAACAUAUAUGAGUGAGAGAGACAGGGAGAUACACAUGCGUGCACACACGAGUGCACACACACACACAAGAAGGUGGAAGCUCUAUCAUUAGGAUCCAUUAGGAUCAUUAGGUGUUUCAGGAGUGCUGCUCCAGACCCCGCACAGCAGGGAUGAUGUGCAGGGCCUCAGUGGAAGGGGUGUGGGGUCCAAGGGCUUUCAUGGGGUUGGGGCGGAAGGCUUGGGAUGAGGCUUGAUAGUUAGGGAGGGGCAGUCAGUGAGAAGUCGGGGCAGGAGCUGGGCUGGCUGUCCUCCAGUGGGGACAUGCUUGGCUGGGAGCGAAGGUGGGCCCACCAGGGUGUGCUGCUUCAGAUGGGAGGAGGGGAGCUGGAGACCUGAGAGGACACCCGCCGCCUGUUGCCUGGGGCUGCAGCAUCAGGGGUGGAGUUGGACAGCAGGAAGAACUCGCUGAGAACUGGAAGGCGGUCUGUGAAGUUGCUUCUCAGUCUUAGAACACAGGGAAGGGCGGCUGGGGUGUGUGUACUCAUGGUCCUGUCCUUACCUGAGGAAACUGCCAGUCCAGAUGGGAGCUUGAGUCCCCGGAUGUGGUCUCUGUUGGACUUGAAGGAGGGCAGCUUGAUCCAGCCGCUAGACUUAGUCUUCUCCAGAAAUUCUUGGUACAGGCUCAGCAUGUCCGAACACCAGCUGGCAUUGGGAAGAGCAUAAUCCUUCAAGUCUGUCUUCUCUGGCAAGAAUCUUGAGAACUGGGCAGGAAAAAUCAGAAUGACUAGACAGCAUCCUGGAGGGGGGCUGCUGCCUGGGCUCGGGACCUCUAAACAGCUGUUCCUGGGUGCUGGGGCUUCUCAAUCCCUUCUGCCAGAGUAUCGAUCCAAGGGAAAGGGCCCAUAUUCCUUGCAGGGGGGCUGCGGACCCCUAUGGGUGACGGGGCAUAAGGAUGCUAAAGAGCAAGGGAAGGGCGGGCAGGGAGUGGGGCCAGAGAUGAUGGGCAUGCUGCUCGAUGUGGUGCCUUACCCUUGUUCUGCUUAAAACAUGUGAGCAGUUCUUUAAAGUUGACAACUGCUCAUAUUAGCCUCACUGUACAGAUGGGGAAACUGAGGGAAUACGGCCAAGGUUGCCAAGCAUGUGACUGUGAGAGCUGGUGGUCGCACUAGAUGCUGUCUCCUCUGCAGGGCAGGGUCACAGUUGUUGAGGACCAUUCUAGCAACCCCCACCUCAGGGGCUACUCCAGCUCUGCCCACUGCUGUGGGCCUGCCUGGGCAGGGUGGCUCCUUUGAAACACAUUUGGGCCCCCACAGAGGUGUGGUGCCAUGGCUGGGGCACAGACUAUGUGCCCAUCUGUGUGACGUAAGGAAGUCCUCUGUAGCGUCACCUGCUCAUACACCAGUCACAACUGUAGACAGCAUGUGAGCUGCUUGCCAAUGCCACAGAUGGGGUCCUCUGUCUGGGGAUACCCCAGCUUUGCUGCAGUAGUCUGAGUCCCACAGGAGGAAAGUCAUUUGUUGGUGGCCACACAAGACACAGAGCCAGAUGCAGGUCUCCUGGUAGUUUUAGUUUUGAAUGGGGGCAACUUGGUAUCCCAGAGCACUUUCUCUUUGCCAAAUCAAAUAGCUCCUCCGAACACUGCCCACCUGCCCUGGCCAUGGGCUGGGAAGAGGAGAUUUGGGGUGCUCCUUAAGCCCUAGGCUCCUGGGAAAACACUGCCCAUCUGGCUGAGCUGGGAACUCACCAUGGAGUCUGUGGAGGAUCCAAAUGCUGAGGCAGGGUUGAGUCUGGGCAGGAUACGGGGGGCCUCAAGAAGGCCUCUGUGGUGGCCAAGUCUUGCUGCCACCUGGAAGCAUCUCCUUAUCAUGGCCAAGUGCAAGGAUCCAGCCCUGCUUGGAUGGAGGGUCUUGGCUGACUCCCAAGGAGUGCUUUCAGCUGCACUUGGGGCCGCUUCUCUCCCUUCUGUUGCAGGCUUUCUUUCAGAGAGCUAGGCGAGGCUGGGCUGGUGUGCUGCAACACCCACAGAUGCUCGGCGCCUUUAGCUGGUCUAGGAGCCCCACCCAGUGCUUGGGGAGGGACAGAUGCUGCUUGGGCAUGAAAAGGCAGCAGGACUGGCUUGAGUUGCAAAAGGAGUAAACAAGUACAUAAACAAAUAGUAUGGGGUAUAUAGAGCCUUGGAGAGCUGCCUGGGGGUUCUGAGGGAGAAUCCAAGAAUAUUUCCAGAAGGAUAAGGGAAGCCUGUCCCUUGAUUGGAGGGUGCUGGUGGAGUGUUCUUGGUAUGUGCUCUGCAGUGUAUACCGGACUCUGAAAACUCUGGUAUGAUUUUGUGACUCAGAAAACCAACUCACAGGCCGGGUGCGGUGGCUCACGCCUGUAAUCCCAGCACUUUGGGAGGCCGAGGCGGCGGAUUACGAGGUUAGGAGAUCGAGACCAUCCUGGCUAACACGGUGAAACCCCGUCUCUACUAAAAAAAAUACAAAAAAUUAGCCGGGCGUGGUGGCGGGUGCCGGUAGUCCCAGCUACGCAGGGGGCUGAGGCAGGAGAAUGGCGUGAACCUGGGAGGUGGAGCUUGCAGUGAGCUGAGAUCUAGCCACCGCACUCCAGCCUGGGCGACUGAGCGAGACUCCGUCUCAAAAAAAUAAAAAUAAAAAAAUAAAAAAAAAGAAAACCAACUCACAGCCUUAGACACCUCUUUUUUUUUUUUUUUUUUUUUUUUGGUGAGACGGAGUUUCAAUCUUGUCGCCCAGGCUGGUGUGCAAUGGCGUGAUCUCGGCUCACUGCAACCUCCGCCUCCUGGGUUCAAGUGAUUCUCCUGCCUCAGCCUCCUGAGUAGCUGGGAUUACAGACACACACCACCACACCCAGCUAAAUUUUGUAUAUUUUUUUUAGUAGAGAUGGGGUUUUGCCAUGUUAGCCAGGCUGGUCUUGAACUCCUGACCUCAGGUGACCUCCCAAAGUGCUGGGAUUACAGGCGUGAGCCACCGCACCCGGCCAACACCUCUUCUUAUAUCCCGGACAAGGGUUAGCACAGGAGAGUUUCACCUGCUGGUCUCUGGCUGGGGAUAGGAGUUGGAGGUGGGGGAGGGCUUGACAGGGAGGGCAGAAAAUAAUUUGGGAGGAAACAGCUUGGCAGGGAUACUCUCAUGUUUUGGGAACCCCGUGCCCAGGGAGUGGCUCAUGUCAGCAGGCAGUGCUGGGAGUGAGGUGGGCGCGGCAGUGAGGCUUUGUUGAGUGGGAAGGGACACUCAGCCAACAUCUGCAAGGCAGUGGGAUUUGGUGGUGGUGUGUCUUCUAUUGAAUUUAAACUGCCAAUUUUCAAUUAAAAGUCUCAGUUUUAAAUUGACUAAAAUAAAAGCAUGUUCUAAAGAUCAGUCCUCGCGCAGUGGCUCAAGGCUGUAAUCUCAGCAUUUUGGGAGGCCGAGUGAGACCUUGUCUUAAAAAAAAAAAAAUCAGAACUGUGCAAAGGUGGAAUCAUAACAGUGAUGAUGACGAUAAUAAUAGUUGUGAUGAUUAUGACAUUUUGGCAGGUUCCAAAAGAUGAAACUGAUUUAAUGCGGAAAUUUAAAAGAUUUGGUUCACCCUCUGUAUUUGGUUGCCCUAGAAGAAGACUAGAAUAUAAAUAUUUCCCCUCACCUCCUGCAAAGGUUUGAAUUAAACUUCCUCAAGGACUGGGGGAACCAUUUUUUUUUGUUGUUGUUAUUUUGUCAGAGUCUCACUCUUAUUGCCCAGGAGUGCAGUGGCACCAUCUCGGCUCACUGCAACCUCUGCCUCCCAGGCUCAAGCAAUUCUCCUGCCUCAGCCUCCCAAGUAGCUGGGAUUACAGGCGCUUGCUACUACGCCCGGCUAGUUUUUAUAUUUUUAGUAGAGACGGGGUUUCAUCAUGUUGGCCAGGCUGGUCUCAAACUCCUGGCCUUGGCUGAUCUGCCUGCCUCAGCGUCCCAAAGUGCUGGGAUUACAGGCAUGAGGCACCACGCCCAGCUGGAAGUUUUUUUGGUUGAUUCAGCCUCUGGGUCUAAGCAAAGAUAUUUGAGUUGGUUGCCAUCCCCAGAUAAGUGAGAAUAUCUGGCAGCACUCAUUUUCAGCCCUGGGCCGCAGCCGUUGCUGUGAGGCAGAAAUUAAAAAAAGAUAGUAAGUACUACAUUCAUUCACUCCAAGAAAAGUAACAGACAAGGCUAUAAGAAGGUCAUAGUGACCUAGUCUGAGAAGUAAAAGCCAAGGCCCAGAAUGUGGCAAGGCAAAGGUUAAAAAGAAAGGAAGAGCAAGUUUUUCUCUGCCUAGCAAGCUCACUUCAAAGACAAUUAUAAGAUAAUGCUCUUCGAGAAGUCGAAACCAAAGGAAUAGGCUCCAGACAUCCCCCGUCUGGAGCAAGGGUGAAGGAAAAAAAAAAAAGGACAAAUGUCUGUCUGUAUUUAGCCAGUUCUUGUUUUUUCUUUCCACGCAGCUACAAGGCCACCAGCUAUGCAAAGCCACAAGUUAUGCCAAGUCAUCAGUUAUGCUAUAGAUUAUGUGACCUGUCAUUAUAUGAUUAACUGCCUGUUUUGCUUCUGUAAGCCUGCUUAUAAAAAUCCUGCUCAGUCUUUGUUCAAUGCUCAGCUUUUUGGAUGUGAAUCCACUGAGCCAAUGCCUACCUUAAAAUAAACAUCGUCCUGUUUUUCCA